rnacentral:misc_RNA from 1 species
CACCACUCAAGCCUAGCUUGGUAUUGAGGGAUUUGUGGGAUCUUCGAAAGAAAGUCCUGCACCCUUUGAAUUCUUCCGGCUGGUACUCAUCAAACCCUUGCGUUGUGGAAACAUUUUUCGCUGGCGUGUUUCGAUGGGUGGUCUUUCGCCGUUAAACCCCAUUUUUCUAA